AACAAAAUAGAAUUUGGCGCGGAACUAAAUCCGAAAAGAUCCGUACAUCUGAAUCAACAACACAAAAACAAGCAAAUUCCCUGGGAUCCUCUCUCCAAAAUCCAGCAGUAAAUCAUAAAAGGCAAGAACAACAUAGAGUCAUAGACACCCGUAACACUCUCUCCGUCUCUGUAUCGGUUUCUAGGGUUUCGAGUUUUUCCAAAGAAUCGCACCAUUCUUUUUCCAAAAUGACAUCUAUGCCCCCACCUCCUCCUACCGUCUCUCCUCCUUCCACCACCUGCGCCUCCCUCCUCCACGAAUUGCAGGGAAGAGGCACAUUAAAGCAGCAAAUAUCUGCUGUGAACCCUGUUUUGGAUGAAUUGAGGUUGAAGAAGCAAGAAAGGAUCAAAGUUUUCUACGAGACAGAGUCGCAAAUAGCUCAGAUUUGUGCAGAAAUAGCAAGCAAUGAUCGGUAAAUCAAUACUGCUGAUCCAGAAAUUAAUGAGCGUGAUUUAACGUUGAAGAGAUUGGAGGAACUAAAGUUACACCUUAAGGAACCACGUGAUAAUCACUGAAAAGUUUACCUGAAGCUUCAAGGUCUGGGAAGAAAACUGAUAGAGCAAUUGGGACCUCAUGGACAGCCCAGUUGAGGAGAGAAAAUUGGACAAAUCACUGUAUUAAUCUCAUCAUCAGUGGAUGAUGUAUCAAGAAAAGGGUGCCUUGCUGUUGAUGUCAUUGAGCAGACUGAAGUUGAAGUUGAGAGAUUAAAUGUUCUCAAAUCCGGCAAGAUGAAGGAGUUCGUGUUUAAGAAGCAAAAUGAGCCGGGGGAAGUCUACAGAGGAGCUCAUAUGGAUGUAGAUAGUGAUGCUGCAAGGCAGAUUCUCAUCAGCCUCACAGAAUCUUGUUUCAACCAAAACUGCUCUUGUUUUCCUUUGACUAACAUGCAUGACUAAUGGUAUUGGGUUUACAUGUUAGCCUUUUGAGUUAGACCUUCAAUUGCUCUGGUUAUUUUGGUAAGCAUUUUAUGAAACUUGAGUUUACCUUUUGCUACGAACAUGCCGACUUUUUUUCCUCCAGCAAAUAACAUGCCCUUCGUCUUUCUCAACUCUAACUGUUUCUGUCACCAUUUGCAGAUGCAUAUUUUAAUGCAGUUCUUGUUCAUUGAAUGCUUAAUUUUGUGCCUUUUAAGAAUAUUAUUUGGUAUUUUUUUAGAGUUUUUGGUACUGAUUUUUUCAUAAGUUUUAAUAUUUGUUUUUUCAGUUUGUUGAUUAGGUUUGAAGUGAUUUAUUGAUUCUGUUUUAAUUCAAUUUUAAGACUGCAAACAUCUACAAAAUGGCUGGAUUCAUGAUCAUCAAGAUGACAUAUCUUUUCAAUCUGCAAUUGUUUUUAGAUAUACGUGCCUUUUUCUCUUACAUUGAAUGUGGUUUCUUUUUGUUGUGUAAUUUUGCAUGACUCCAAUUUACUUUAUACGCUUGAUUUGUUAAUCCUUGUGUAAUUUGAACUUUUUAUCAUAGGUAAUGUCGAUAUGUCUAAUCUGCUUGCGAGCAUGGAUGAUCAAAUCACAAAAGCCAAUGAGCAAGCUCUUAGUCGGAAGGAUAUCUUGGACAAAGUACAGAAAUGGAAAUUUGCAUCCGAGGAAGAACAGUGGCUUGAUGAAUAUGAAAAGCAUAUUCGGGGUUUUCAUUCUCCCUUGCAACGAGGCAAUUUUCAACAGUAAUCUUUUGCCUUUCUCCCCGCUCUCCCAACCCCGUCUUUAAUUUAUCACAACAAGUCAAUUUGGCUGUCUGGCAUACUUCCAAAGGAACUGGAUGAUAAUCGGUAUGGUGCAGGAAGAGGAGCACACAAAAAUCUGAAACGUGCUGAGAAAGCACGGAUUCUGGCCAGCAAAACGAGUUUAUUUAAUAUAAUGGAAAUUAUGUGAAAAAAUAAGAUGCAGAAGUGUAGAAAUUCACUGAAAUGAUUAUAGUGCAGUUUCAACAUGUGUUAAAAAAACAUAGUUUCAACUUCUCUAGUUUACUAUGCCUGUAAAUGAAAUGGAGCUGAACUUUAGGAAGAAAAAUAUUUUAUGGUACUGGAAAUGCCAACAGCUUCUAAAUUGUUAUUAUUCCGAAGCAUGUUUCUUAAGCGAACUUUUCACCACUUGUAGGAAUUUGCUUUUUCUAUACCUGAUCUUUCUUUGUAUAGGCAGAGUACAGGUAAGUGUCUUCUACAUAGUAAAAUUUGUCUGGCAAAUGGCAAUUGUUAUAAAUACAAACCCUGAGAAAUGUGUGCGGAUAGGUCAUGAUUAUGUGAGAUUUGAAUGGGGGAAGGCAAACAGAUCACUUAUUGCUACCAUGUUAAUGCCACAACUUUGACUAUUAAAAUUGUAUUACUAAUAGCAAUUGACAAACAUGAGCAUGCAAAACAGCUAUUCGUUACAUGCAAUACAAUAAACAGGUAUUCCUAUAAAAAUGCUGAACCAUAGGUUCCGGGAUAGUACUAGAAUGCAGGGUUGAAAAAACCAUGGUUGUCUUUGCUGCAAAAUUCUUUAUAUUGUGAUCAAAUAGAUUGUUAUGUUUCGAGAAUUGAGCUGGAACUUGUAAACUUGAAUAUUUUUGCUGUCUAGCCGUGGUUGAAAAUUUGACUUCUAUAGUUAAAGCCUGGGAAUUGGAGGGAAAUAUCCAUUUCUUAUGUGACAAGGCUCCCCUCUUACAUACCCCUUAAGAGGAAUAUACCGUGCUAAGGCAGGAGAGGGAAGAGGAGAAGCUAAAGCGUCCCUCUUACAUACUCUUGCUUCGCUUUUCAUUUGUGCCUAUAUUUUCUAAUCUUGCUCUAACCAUGAUGUUGGGCUCAAUCAGUAAAUUCCUUGGGUUUGGAUCAUGGAGGGUUCAAUCCAAAUCUAGCAAAACAGUGAAAAGAACAUGGACCAGGAUGUUCAAACUACUUCUAUUUUGGCAUCUGAGAUGCUUGAGACUUUUAAACACCCAAACUUCCUCCAUGGAAAAUCCAGAUGCUCCAUCUUCAGUCAUUCAUCACAGUUCUUACAAUGUGUGUGGCGAACGCAGAAAGCAUCUAUUGCUUGGUUCAUACAACACAUGAACUGCUUAAUUAGUCAUUUAUGCUGUUAAUUUAAUCAAGGGCCAUUGGCUUACAAAGUAAGGAGUUAGCCAAAAGUUAACGUGCGUUUGUUUUUGUUGUGAUUCAUU